AUAUGAAUCAAUGAAUCAAUAUGCACUUAUUAAUAUAUAAUUAUUAUAUUGAUUUGUAAUCAACAGGAUGGACUCAGGAUCCAGAUAAAAUUAUAAGACGGAAUCACUUCUCGGAUGGCCUUAUUCUGUCUCCCAGAUAUCUUGUCACUUGAAAGGACCUCUGACCUCGUCACCAUGGAGGAAGGAGUCAUUCUACAGUAGAGCCUAUGAGAGAACAGAAGGCAAAUCCUUACAAAGAUGUGACGCUCUUCUUUUAUCCUCAGGAAAGGGUCUUCUCCACACUCUUCAAUGUAUACGAAAAGCCCCCUGGAAUUUGGUUUCGUGGCUUGUUUACUGGAAAAUGUCAGAUUCUCUCAGUGUCUAUAAACCAAGAGUCCCAAGAAGGAAGAAGAAAUCAAGUUAGAACAGGAGAAGAAGCCAUGGAGCAGACCAGUUGUAUAAAGUGGGGGAGGGGAGUCAUGUGGCAUGAGUUGGCAGCAAAUAUUUCAAGGCUAGAUGUUGGUGGAGGCUAGACUGUACCUGACAAGCCUGCAGAAAACUGG
rnacentral:lncRNA from 1 species